GAUGUCUCAUUUAUUCAAAACUCCUCCUAUUCUCAGGGCUUUUUUAAAACAUUUGCUCCACAUCUGGGAGAACUGCAGAUUUUACUGAACAGUAAAGAUAACAUGAUCAUCUGACUUCAUCAGCUGAAGAUUUAUGCAGAUGACUUAAUAACAAGACUCACAAUUAUAUCUUGGCAUCAACUGCACUGGAAUAUGAAUGCUGACUACAAAUAAUUGAUCCAUGGAGAUGCAUUGAGUGAAUAAUGAACACACUAAGGGAGUCACCAAGAUACGCUCCAGGACACACUGUCACUAAAAAACCAAAACAGUCCAAGGAUUUAACACAAAAAUUGUUUGCCCAGCUCAAAAACUUGCCUACCACAAUUAAGAAUUUAUAAAAGACAUUGCCUGCAAUAGAUGAAAUAAUGCAGUUAUUUUCCUCUAGUAACAAUUAAUGAAAAACACCGAUCUGUUGUUUACCAGUUUUUCUCAUCUCAAUCACUCCAUUCCUUCUAACUGCCCCCUAACUAUGCUUUUAUCCUCUCUGAUCCCUGUGUGAACUUCACUAACAUGCCUUACCUCCUAAGGCCAGCUCUUUCAUUCUCUCUAGCCAGGACUCAUGCGAGUUGCCCUAGGAUUGCCUUUGUCACACAUCUGAGUUUCUGUGUGACCUCUACAAUGAGUUUCCUUAGUGUCUCCUUAUUUUCCUUCCAGCUAUGCCUUGUAUCUUCUGUUGCAUCUUCUCUGAUCUCCCAGUGCAUCUUUGUAUCACGUCACUCUGGGUCUCUGAGUUUUCUAAUCUUUAAUUUUGGAGUUGCUAUCAAACAUCUCCACUACUUCCUACUACCCCUCCUACUCUUUCUCCAUCCCACUUGGGCUCAUGCCCACUGUAAGUGAGACCUGGAGGAUGGGAAAGAAUGAUAGAGCUGAAUGUCAUAUCAGUCACCAUGGCUCUAUUAAACACCUAGAAAUAACAAAGCAGGUUGGCUGACAUGCAACUUAUGCAUUAGUUUUUUGUACAGAUGUACAUUUUUCAUGAUUAACUAGGCUUACUUGACAACAUUUUCUUGGUCAUUAAUUUCUAAUUAUUUUCUUCUUAAUGACCCAUCAUGCUCAAAACAUGUCAUAUGUGUUGCCAAAACAUCCAGACAACACGCAUAUGCAGCCUAAUACGUAUACCAUUUCCCACUGGAUCAUUGCUGUAGGCUACAUAUUUUUUCCUCUUGAUGUUUGUUACUUGAAGUAGCCAUCUGACUGAAAGUCGACUAUUAAGACUCUAACAGGAAGGAGAGGUGGAUCCAAGACAGCUUUCCUCAUUCAAUUUAAAGAUAAUUGCUGACAGAGUCUGUUGGACCUCAGGCGGUGGUACUAACCAGAUGGCACAUCAAAGAGCAGAGAUUUUGUGGGCUCUUUAACUCAGGUUACUGACACCCUCUGAAUAGGAAAAAAGUGGACGGUUCGUUCAUUUCUCAGGACACACACAGCAGCUGUGAUGACUUGAUGAAAACUUUGAUUAAUCUAGAUUUAUCAAUUGCAUGGAUGGAGUCAUCUUUUCUGAGACCGAGUAUAUGAUUCUACCAGCCACUCAUUGCACUAAGAGAACUGAGGAAGAGGUAUGCAAGAUUUCUGCAGUGGUAGUACCAGAUCUGGAAGGUGUGCUAAAUCCAGAGCAAGCACAGGAAAGUAUUGAUCCCUACUCCAUACUGUUCAUACAGGCACUUACAGAAGGAGCCAAAGGCCACAUCUGUAUUGAUAAAUUACAUGUGUCCAGAAAGCAUAAGCCAGACACAAAUCUGCUCCACAUCUUUACACACCUACCCCAGGAUGAAUUUGUUAGGAGAUAACUUCUUGAUUUUGGUGUGUUCAUGGUUGGUCAAAUGAGCCCAGUCUCAGGAUGCUAAAACUUGAAUAUCCUCACGACCUGUGGUAGUUGGUCCUGAGGUUAAUAUAUGCACAUGGGUUAACAUGUAACUCGUUGCAACUCUUCCAGAGCUGUUCUUUUAAGAGAAAUUGUUCUUUAAUUGUUCUUCUAACUUCUCAACCCAUUUCCAUUGCCAUGUGACAUCAGCUCUCCAUCCAAUCCCUGCCCAACAGCAGCUCUCUCAGAAACUUAGACCACCGAACACUCCGAGUAAUGACUAGUUCUCUUCACUUGAAUGGUCCCCUGUAAAAUGGAUACUGAUUCAUGACUGGGGAUCCAAAGUCCUGCUACAUCUAGAACAAUAGAAAAUUAGUCAAAAGUACAAUCAUAUAAAUGAUUAAUUUACUUUUGCUGCUUUCUGUGAAUAAUAACAAACUGUAAAAAAAAAAAAAAAAAAAAAAGAAGCAUUCAACUUUACAAACCGGUAUUAGGUUUUUAAAAUUAGAAAGAGUCUAGUUGCUCACAAAUUAUUAUCUGUGUGUGUUUCUUUCAGCACUAGAUAGUCCUAGCUGACUCCUUUAUAUGCUUGGUGGUACACUUACACUACAUAUAAAAAUGGCUGAAUAUAUUUGAGAUCGCAGAGUUCAAAAUUUAUUUAAUGUACAUUUUCUGCCAGUUUUCAAUUGUAAGAGGAAAGAAAUUAAGCCCUCGUCUGCUAAUAGAAUUCUAAUGCCUCAGUAUUUAUUCCACACUUUUUUGUUGUUGUUGUUGUUUUGAAAGAUAAGAUUUAUGGAAGUUAAACAAACAUGUUUUGAGAUCUUAAAAUGCAUGUUCAGUAAACAUUUAUGUGAACACUACAGAAAUCCCACAAAGAUCUGCAAAAUAAAGUUCAAACUUAGUGAAAAUAAAAUUGUUCUGCAC
ensembl:lncRNA